UACGUAGGGACCAAGCGUUGUCCGGAAUCAUUGGGCGUAAAGAGCGUGUAGGCGGCUUGUUAAGUCUUGCGUGAAAUCUCGGGGCUCAACCCCGAGCGGUCGUGAGAAACUGGCAGGCUAGAGUGCGGGAGAGGAGAGUGGAAUUCCUGGUGUAGCGGUGAAAUGCGCAGAUAUCGGGAAGAACACCCGUGGCUAAGGCGGCUCUCUAGUACGGUACUGACGCUGAGACGCGAAAGCGUGGGGAGCGAACAGG
rnacentral:rRNA from 1 species